CCUACGGGAGGCAGUAGUGGGGAAUAUUGCACAAUGGGCGAAACCCUGAUGCAGCGACGCCGCGUGAGCGAAGAAGGACUUCGGUAUGUAAAGCUCUAUCAGCAGGGAAGAAAAUGACGGUACUUGUGACAGAAGCUCCGGCCAAAUACGUGCCAGCAGCCGCGGUAAUACGUAUGGAGCAAGCGUUAUCCGGAUUUACUGGGCGUAAAGGGAGCGUAGGAGGCCUGCCAAGUCUGAUGUGAAAUACCGGGGCUCAACCCCGGGGCUGCAUUGGAAACUGGCAGGCUGGAGUGCCGGAGAGGCAGGCAGAAUUCCUGGUGUAGCGGUGAAAUGCGUAGAGAUUAGGAGGAACACCGGUGGCGAAGGCGGCCUGCUGGACGAAGACUGACGCUCAGGCUCGAAAGCGUGGGGAGCAAACAGGAUUAGAUACCCGUGUAGUC
rnacentral:rRNA from 1 species